UUGGCUUGUCACCUUGGGCAACAUAUUGUGAAAGGAAACUCUUAAAGAAGAAGGGUUUAAGCAAGUUUGGCCUAGUUUUACAGGGGAAGGACAUGGGGAAGAUGACGUGGCAUGCAUAGUUUUACAGGGUUGUACAUGUCAUCUAGUAAAAGGCUAGAAAGCAAACAGGGUUGUAUAACUGUUGCUUGUUCCACAUGUAAUCUGUCAGGACAUUAGAUUGGACUAAGUUUUUGGUCUUCCAUGGAUGAUUGCCGGUUACAAUCCCAUCCUUGUUAUAGUGGAUUGUUUUCUAAGAGGUCACUUUUUUUCCUUGCACCAAGAUGGUUGACAUUGUGUCACAUGACAAGGUUGUUCUUUCAUGAGAUAGACUGAAUGUUCUCUUGAAGAUCAUUGUCUUAGAUAGGGAUCACAAGUUGAUGAGCUAUAUUUGGAAAACUUUGGAAAUUGCGGAAGGUGACACUCCAAUUUUUCCACUGCAUGCCAUCCAUAGACUGAGAAAUAGAUAUAGGUGGUAAAUAUUGAUUUUAGGGGAUAUCUAGAGAUGUUUUAUAGGAGGAGAUCAUCUGUCUAGUUGUUAUUAGGUGCCUCCAAUGACACAACUUGCUUAAUUAGCUCCUUCAAAAUGACUACUGUCCACAGAAUCGUCCUUUUGAGAUUGUAAUGGUUUAUCAGCCUUAGAUACUUGUAGAUUUGGUUCCCAACCUGUAGCAUCUUGAUUUAGUGAGUUGGCAUAUUCAUUUGCAUAUCAUAUGCAUGAUUUACAUGUUGAAAAUGUUGAAGAAUAGCUUUGGGCAAUGAGAGCUACAAAUCUGCAGUGGAUGUACUAGCAGGUAUCGGGGGUUUGGAGAAGAAGACAUGGUGAAGGUGAGUUUGCCUAGAGAGUUUUCCAUGAGAACCUUAAAGAAAUGGCACACUAGAAGGACAUUUUGCUAUCUUUUCUUGCAAAAGAUUGGCGCAAAUGCCGAUUAGCUGGAUUUUUCUAAGAAAUGGGGAUCAGCCUUGUAUUUCAAGUGGAGGAUUUGAUGUUCUGCGAGGAGCCUACAAACAUAAUGAUUGAGCCUUCCUCUUGUUUUCUAGAACUUCUACUAUUGCACAUUCCAUAGCUCCAUUGAGCUUAGUGUUAGUGUUCCCUAAGCCUCCCAUCCCACCUCACUCACCAUUAAGAAAAUGGAUGGGAUUGAGGGCAUCAUUGAUGAACAGGCGAUUUCUACCAGCAUUGGCGGCUUUCAGAAAUAUUUGUUCAAUUGAAGUGGAUAUCCAGCAUUAGAUAGCAUGUGAAAAACUGCUUAUGAGUUAUAGAAGCUUGGGUAGGAGCUACUUGAGACAUACCACAGCUGUUACUUGUCGGAGGUGAAUUUUCCAAGCUAGGAGAGCUAAUGGGGAUUGCGAUGGACUUUUGGUGUAUACAAGGUACACAAUGAUGUGUCUGAUCCUUUGUCUUGAUUUAAGUGAUUUUACCUUGUGCUUGGGAAUUAAGCAAGAAAGUAUCAAAGUUGAGCUAAAGUCAAACUAUAUUUUUUUUUUACUUUUAUUUUAGGGACUAAUUGUCUAAGAUUAUUAAUGGUCUGACAUCCAUAUAGAAACUUCUUUUAAGGGUUUUAUGUAAAAGAACUGUUUUAAAACAAUUCUGCAUAUACAUGCUUAUUAUUCCAAAUAAAUUUUAGAUUUUUUUCCCUUUUUAUGCAUGUGAUAUGUUGGAGACAGGUGUGAUGCCCGAGGGAGUGAUUCCCCAUUAUGAUGAUGUGGAUUUGGUUAACAUUUUGCUCUCUGUCUCUUAUUUGAUCUCUUUGCCAUAUGUUUUCCACGUUUCCUGCCUUUCUACCUCGGUUUCUACUAUCUUACGGCUGAAGAAAGUCAAAAACUGUCUCCUACUUCCUGCCUCAUCACAACAGGCUGUUUACGGUCAUCAGACCGACCCAUGGGAAGGCAGAUCUUAGUGGAACCAGAUUCAAAAGGGAGAUCCAAAAGGGACCUACCGGACCUCUUGCUUCUGAGGUGCAAAGUCUGUUUUCUGAGAGCAACUCCUAACAUGUCAGAUAUUUUCAGAUCUGCUAACUUUAUUAGAGUUAAAACUCAUCUUUUGUGUUUUAUUUCACUUCAUCCUUUAUUGUUCUCUUAUGGUCCUUGGGUUCUGUGGAAGUCCUGUAGCAGCAAGAACAGCGACCACAAAGGAGAUGUCCAAUCUAAGGGCUGCUGUGUAUCAUCUGGAAGCGGGAAGCAAGAUGCGGCUGAUUCCUGACAGUGGCUCCAGUGAUUUGAUUUAGUUAACACUCAUCCACCACCGAGCAUCCUUUUAAGACUUUUAAUAGCAUUAAUGUUUGUUUUCAGACACUUGUACAUAUAGGCAAUGUUUUCAUUGUAUAAUCUUCUUUGCAUUUAGGCAGUGUCUAAUUUAUAUAUUGAUUCUGAUUUGAGGUUUCAGAUUAUUAAAUUGCUAUCAUAUUUCAUUAGGGUUUUGCAUCAUAUUAGAUGCUUGGAUUUUAUUAUUCAUAUGUGCUCUGGCAUAUUAGGUUCGGAAGGGUUGUUUUGCAUUUGUAGGUGCAGCGCCUUUUUUAACGUAAUUUCAGAAGAUGCUAGUUAUGCUGUGUAUGUCAUUGCAUAACCAUGAUAUGGUUUGGUGGAAGCUGAUUCAUAUUGUAUUGCCCCGAUACAGGUUGUAUGUAUCAGGUGCAGUAGGUAGCUACACUGCAAGCUCUUUUUUGUGCUUCAUAUUACAUGUGCCGUACUUGUGGAGUAGUAGAUGUAUCUGCAUGCUGUGAGAGCUUGAGCUUUUAAAGUAGGUUCAUGGAGUUCAAAUUUCAAGGCUAUCGUUCAUUGAAAGCAAGAGAUUUGGAGAUCCUAAAAAACCGAAACGACUCUAUGAUGGCCAGCAUCAAAUGAAAAGUCACCUUCUAGCGAAGAUGUGAUCAUCCUGCUAUUGUGUGCAUGCCCGGAUGGCGGUUGUUAUUGUUACAAAAUUCAUUUAUGUGCAAGCUUGACACUUCUUUUUGAGGGGAAUUUUUGUUCCUUCUUCACUUAUAUAAUUGCUGCCUUUUUAUGAGUUUGAAACAGUCAAUUUAGGAAAUGAUGAAGCUGUAGGAUAACAAUCCUGGACAGAUCACACAAUACCUACUUUUCAGUUGUAUCCUUUUGAGUUGCAUGCUUAUCAUUCACCUGUUUAUUUACAGAUAUGGCUGUAUCUGGGUUUGCUUUAAGAAAAUUCCCAAAGACAAUUUUCUUGCA